rnacentral:lncRNA from 1 species
GGAGCCCUGACAGGGGAUCAGGUCGAGGUGACCGUGCUAAGAUCUCACGAGAGCGCAGCUUCAGCCCUGACAGGUAUGACAAGGCUUCAGCAGCACGAUCCCCAGCACGAAGUUUUCAUGAGAUGAUGAUGAAGCGUGGUCGAUCACCUCAACGCCAGCGUAUAUGUGUGAAUUCACGUAGUCCAAGUCGGGAAAGGUCACGAUCACCUCAUGGUGGUGCAAGGAGGGAAAAAGGAUCAUACAAUCAUGAUAAUUAUAGGGAGUGGAAGAGAUCACCUGAUGGUGGCACUGCUGGCGGGAAAAAUCCAUCGAAUUAUGGUGAAGAGGAGGAAGGCCUGAUUCCAGCAGAUGGAA